rnacentral:lncRNA from 1 species
UAGAAAUGAGUUUGUAGAAUAAAUCAGAGAUUGAUUUAUGAGUUAUUGAUUAUGAUUGUACUAAGUGAUUGAAUUAUAUGAGGAGUUAUUGGAAGAUUAUGAUUGUUGUUUAUUGAGAGCUGUGUGUGUUUGGACAGAGGAAGUUUGUGAUUAUAGAAAUUAUAAAAAUUCAGAUUGUUGGAGUGAAAUCUGUUAUUCAUGGUGUUGGAUGGAAAUUAUUGUGUUUUGAACGGUCUUUUGAGAGUGCAGGAUUGCACAUUGUUGUUAUCAGGUGAUGAAGGAGUAUUGUUACUGGGAGAAAAUAUCAUAGUAUUUUUAGUCUUUUAGU